AUUGAACGCUGGCGGAAUGCUUUACACAUGCAAGUCGAACGGCAGCACGGGGGCAACCCUGGUGGCGAGUGGCGAACGGGUGAGUAAUGUAUCGGAACGUGCCCAGUCGUGGGGGAUAACGUAGUGAAAAUUACGCUAAUACCGCAUACGAUCCAUGGAUGAAAGCGGGGGAUCGCAAGACCUCGCGCGAUUGGAGCGGCCGAUAUCAGAUUAGGUAGUUGGUGGGGUAAAGGCUCACCAAGCCAACGAUCUGUAGCUGGUCUGAGAGGACGACCAGCCACACUGGAACUGAGACACGGUCCAGACUCCUACGGGAGGCAGCAGUUGGGAAUUUUGGACAAUGGGCGAAAGCCUGAUCCAGCCAUUCCGCGUGCAGGAUGAAGGCCUUCGGGUUGUAGACUGCUUUUGUACGGAGCGAAAAGGCUCUCUCUAAUACGGGGGGCCCAUGACGGUACCGUAAGAAUAAGCACCGGCUAACUACGUGCCAGCAGCCGCCGUAAGAC
rnacentral:rRNA from 1 species